UACGUAGGGGGCUAGCGUUGUCCGGAAUCAUUGGGCGUAAAGCGCGUGUAGGCGGCUCGGUAAGUCCGCUGUGAAAGUCGGGGGCUCAACCCUCGAAUGCCGGUGGAUACUGUCGGACUAGAGUACGGAAGAGGCGAGUGGAAUUCCUGGUGUAGCGGUGAAAUGCGCAGAUAUCAGGAGGAACACCAAUUGCGAAGGCAGCUCGCUGGGACGUUACUGACGCUGAGACGCGAAAGCGUGGGGAGCAAACAGG
rnacentral:rRNA from 1 species